GAUGAACGCUGGCGGCGUGCCUAAUACAUGCAAGUCGAGCGAACGGACGAGAAGCUUGCUUCUCUGAUGUUAGCGGCGGACGGGGGAGUAACACGUGGAUAACCUACCUAUAAGACUGGGGUAACUUCGGGAAACCGGAGCUAAUACCGGAUAAUAUUUUGAACCGCAUGGUUCAAAAGUGAAAGACGGUCUUUCUGUCACUUAUAGAUGGAUCCGCGCUGCAUUAGCUAGUUGGUAAGGUAACGGCUUACCAAGGCAACGAUGCAUAGCCGACCUGAGAGGGUGAUCGGCCACACUGGAACUGAGACACGGUCCAGACUCCUACGGGAGGCAGCAGUAGGGAAUCUUCCGCAAUGGGCGAAAGCCUGACGGAGCAACGCCGCGUGAGUGAUGAAGGUCUUCGGAUCGUAAAACUCUGUUAUUAGGGAAGAACAUAUGUGUAAGUAACUGUGCACAUCUUGACGGUACCUAAUCAGAAAGCCACGGCUAACUACGUG
rnacentral:rRNA from 1 species